CCUAUGGGAGGCAGCAGUAAGGAAUAUUGGUCAAUGGACGAAAGUCUGAACCAGCCAUGCCGCGUGAAGGAUUAAGGCCCUCUGGGUUGUAAACUUCUUUUAUCUGGGACGAAAAAAGGGUAUUCUUACUCACUUGACGGUACCAGAGGAAUAAGCACCGGCUAACUCCGUGCCAGCAGCCGCGGUAAUACGGAGGGUGCAAGCGUUAUCCGGAUUUACUGGGUUUAAAGGGUGCGUAGGUGGGCUUGUAAGUCAGUGGUGAAAUCUCCGGGCUUAACUCGGAAACUGCCAUUGAUACUAUAGGUCUUGAAUUAUCUGGAGGUAAGCGGAAUAUGUCAUGUAGCGGUGAAAUGCUUAGAUAUGACAUAGAACACCAAUUGCGAAGGCAGCUUACUACGGAUAUAUUGACACUGAGGCACGAAAGCGUGGGGAUCAAACAGGAUUAGAUACCCUGGUAGUCCACGCCCUAAACGAUGGAUACUCGAACAUCAGCGAUACACUGUUGGUGUCUGAGCGAAGACGAGUUAAGUACGUACCGACCGUACGGUAAGGUAACGAGUAACGUACGAAGAGUUAGUAAACGUUAAAGUUAAGUAAGUUAGUUACGGCGUGGAGGAGUUGCCGACGGACGACGACGAGGGAGGAGG
rnacentral:rRNA from 1 species